rnacentral:rRNA from 1 species
GACGUAGGGGCCGAGCGUUGUCCGGAGUUACUGGGCGUAAAGGGCGCGCAGGCGGUUGGUCACGUCGGCGGUGAAAGCCCCCCGCUCAACGGGGGAGGGGCCGUCGAGAUGGGCCGACUGGAGGCAGGGAGAGGGGGGUGGAAUUCCGGGUGUAGUGGUGAAAUGCGUAGAUAUCCGGAGGAACACCAGUGGCGAAGGCGGCCGCCUGGACCUGACCUGACGCUGAGGCGCGAAGGCGUGGGGAGCGAACGGG